rnacentral:rRNA from 1 species
AUACGUAGGUGGCGAGCGUUAUCCGGAUUUACUGGGUGUAAAGGGCGCGUAGGCGGGGAAGCAAGUCAGUUGUGAAAUCCAUGGGCUCAACUCAUGAACUGCAUUUGAACCUUUUUCUCUUGAGUGCCGGAUAGGUAGACGGAAUUACUAGUGGAGCGGUGAAAUGCGUAGAUAUUAGGAGGAACACCAGUGGCGAAGGCGGUCUACUGGACGGUAACUGACGCUGAGGCGCGAAAGCGUGGGGAGCAAACAGGAUUAGAUACCCUGGUAGUCCACGCUGUAAACGAUGAAUACUAGGUGUGGGGGGACUGACCCCCUCCGUGCCGCAGUUAACACAAUAAGUAUUCCACCUGGGGAGUACGGCCGCAAGGCUGAAACUCAAAUGAAUUGACGGGG